GGAGAGGUGGCUCAGUGGUUAAGAGCACCAACUGCUCUUCUAGAAGUCCUGAGUUCAAUUCCCAGCAUCCA
rnacentral:tRNA from 1 species